rnacentral:tRNA from 1 species
CCUCCUUUAAAGAAACCGGAACAAGGCGUGAAAGCGCCCGCACAGUCUGCCUAAUCAUCGUAAAGAUAGACCGCGGGUCUGUAGCUCAGUUGGUUAGAGCGCACCCCUGAUAAGGGUGAGGUCGGAAGUUCAAAUCUUCCCAGACCCACCACCUUCGCGCUGGUAGCAGCAACAAGGAAACAAGGGGCCAUAGCUCAGAUGGGAGAGCACCUGCUUUGCAAGCAGGGGGUCGGCGGUUCGAUCCCGCCUGGCUCCACCAGGUGCUAAAACGGCGGCGGGCAAAUCACCGUCGCCGUUUAUCUCCUGGCCGAGGUGCCAAGGGGACGUUUCUUUUUACAAUUUAGGUAGUGAUAUACGACGGGUUGAAGUCAGGGAAAUUCCUUUUUGAACGUUCCAGAACUUUAACUUGGGUUUUGCCCAGCCUUUUUAUUAUGGUA